rnacentral:rRNA from 1 species
GCGGAGGAAAAGAAACUAACCAGGAUUGUCUCAGUAAGGGCGACUGAAGCGACAUUAGCCCCAUUGUGAAUCGGCGGCCGAAUUGUGGUCCAGAAAUGGUUGUUUUGAAAAUGGAAUGGCCAAGUCCGUUGGAAUGCGGCAGCUGAGAGGGUGAGACUCCCGUAUGCUUGACAUUUUUGACCUUUCUAUUGGAGUCGAGUUGUUUGGGAUUGCAGCUCCAAGUGGGUGGUAAAUUCCACCGAAGGCUAAAUACUGGUGGGAGACCGAUAGCGUACAAGUACCGUGAGGGAAAGAUGCAAAGACACGCGAAAGCGUUGUUAAAGAGUACCUGAACUUGCUGAAACGGAAGCGAAGGAAACCAGUGUUAGCCCUGUCAUACUUUCCGAUCUGCUUGCGGUUCGGACGCUGUGUCGGGUGUUGUUCCCCUUGAUUGGCCGUUUUGGAAGAAGUUCGC